rnacentral:rRNA from 1 species
UACAGAGGUGGCAAGCGUUGUUCGGAAUUACUGGGCGUAAAGGGCGCGUAGGCGGCCUCGCAAGUCCCGUGUGAAAUCCCUCGGCUCAACUGAGGAAUGGCACGGGAAACUGCGGGGCUUGAGUUCGGGAGAGGGAAGCGGAAUUCCGGGUGUAGCGGUGAAAUGCGUAGAUAUCCGGAGGAACACCGGUGGCGAAGGCGGCUUCCUGGACCGGCAUUGACGCUGAGGCGCGAAAGCCAGGGGAGCAAACGGG